UACGUAGGGUGCAAGCGUUUAUCCGGAAUUAUUGGGCGUAAAGAGCUCGUAGGCGGUUUGUCGCGUCUGCUGUGAAAACUGGAGGCUCAACCUCCAGCCUGCAGUGGGUACGGGCAGACUAGAGUGCGGUAGGGGAGAUUGGAAUUCCUGGUGUAGCGGUGGAAUGCGCAGAUAUCAGGAGGAACACCGAUGGCGAAGGCAGGUCUCUGGGCCACUACU
rnacentral:rRNA from 1 species